GACGAACGCUGGCGGCGUGCUUAACACAUGCAAGUCGAACGGAAAGGCCCUGCUUUUGUGGGGUGCUCGAGUGGCGAACGGGUGAGUAACACGUGAGUAACCUGCCCUUGACUUUGGUAUAACUUCAGGAAACUGGGGCUAAUACCGGAUAGGAGCUCCUGCUGCAUGGUGGGGGUUGGAAAGUUUCGGCGGGUGGGGAUGGACUCGCGGCUUAUCAGCUUGUUGGUGGGGUAGUGGCUGACCAAGGCUUUGACGGGUAGCCGGCCUGAGAGGGUGACCGGCGACAUGGGGACUGAGAUAGGGACCAGACUGCUACGGGAGGCAGCAGUGGGGAAUAUUGCACAAUGGGCGGAAGCCUGAGGCAGAAACGCCGCGUGCGGGAUGACGGCCUUCGGGUUGUAAAACGCAUUAGCCUGUGACGAAGCGUGAGUGACGGUAAUGGGUAAAGAAGCACCGGCUAACUACGUG
rnacentral:rRNA from 1 species